GCCGUUAGGUUGUCGUCAUAUCGCACAUCGCGUAUCCGCUGCACGCUUUUGGAUAUAACUUCACCGUUAAACCGAGAAAUUUCGGAGCGCGAAAAAGUUUCGAAAAGCAAAAGUUCAACGCAAAUAAAAAAGUUCAAUCCGAGGCUUUAAGGCCAGCUCAUCGUAUUUGUCGAGCGAAAAAAGUGUUAAUUGAAAAAUAAUCAGCUCCGAAAGAUGGCAACAGCUUGUGAGCUGCAAUUCACGGAACACUUUCAAACCCCGCAGUCCGAAUUACCAACAAAUGAAAGUGGUAGCAGUUCUAGCCGGGAAACAUCCAAAACCAGCGGCUUCUUCUUCAGCGCCAGCACAAAUUACCACAGCAGAAUUCAACAGCUGAUCAGCUUCAGUUUCACCUCCUCGUUCCACCUGCUCUUCAUCUGCAGCAUAACCAAGUUCUGCAAUGCGGCAGCGGUCAAUGCCGCACAGGUAACCGCUGCCACGCCCACUGCCAGCGAGAUAAUGCACAAUCUGAGCGGAUCGGCGCUAUUUGAGCGGCUGAAAGCCAGUACUCUAGGACCGCCCCUCGAUCGGCUAAAACACCUGGCUCCCGCGGCAGCGAACAGCAUAAGUCCUGGGAUCGGAUCUGGGAUGGGGAUCGGAAUGGGCAACUUCGGCAACUCCAUCAACUCGGUGCUCAACGGAAACCCCUUCAAGUUCCUGAAUGUGUCAGGCAAGAUCGGCACCCCACUGGAUAUAUCGCACAGCCUGUCCACCUACUGCAGUGAGAAGCAGUUCCAGUGCUCCAACGGCGAUUGUAUCCCCAUACGGUUUGUGUGCGAUGGCGACUCCGAUUGCCCGGACCACAGUGACGAGCGUCUGGCGGAGUGCAAGUUCAUAGAGUCGACUUGCAGCGAGGAGCAUUUCCGCUGCAGCUCCGGAAGAUGCAUUCCACAAAGAUGGGUCUGCGAUCGGGAGAACGACUGCGCCGAUGGAAGCGACGAAGCUGGGAGCCUCUGCCGAAGCCCAACUUGCUCGCCCGAGCAGUUUGCCUGCAAGUCCGGGGGCGAGUGCAUUCCCUUGUCCUGGAUGUGCGAUCAGACCAAAGAUUGCCGCGACGGAAGCGAUGAGGCCCAGUGCAAUCGGACGUGUCGCUCGGACGAGUUCACCUGCGGCAACGGACGUUGCAUCCAGAAUCGCUUUGUGUGCGACGAUGACGACGAUUGCGGCGACAACUCGGAUGAGAAGAACUGCGGCACAAAGCCGGAAUGCACCGCGGAUGAAUUCAAAUGUAACAGCGGUACCUGCAUCCCUGCAAUGUGGCGCUGCGACGGAGACUCCGACUGCAGAGACCGCGAAGAUGAACGGAACUGCUCCCGCACAAUCAAUUUUUGUCAGAGGCACGAGUUCCAGUGCUCGGAUUUAAUCACCUGCCUGGAUAUGUCGUGGUUGUGCGAUGGAGAGGCCGACUGUCCCAAUGGCGAGGACGAGUCGCAGGAGCGCUGCCCCGCCGUGUCCUGUCGUCCGGAUCAGUUCCAGUGCGACGAUCGCAGCUGCAUCGCCGGCCAUUUGACGUGCAACGGUGAGAGGAACUGUCCGGAUGGCAGUGACGAGAAGAAGUGCAACAUCAAUGCGGUCCCGAGGACUUGCAACGCCACCACCGAGUUCGAUUGCGGUGGAGGGCAGUGCAUCCCCCUUAGCCAGGUCUGCGAUCGCAGGAAGAACUGCCCGAAUGGCGAGGACGAACCCGCUGGCAAGUGCGGCGUGAACGAGUGCGCCUCCAAGAACGGCGGUUGCAUGCACCAAUGUGUUGACCUUAAGGUGGGCCACCGCUGCGAGUGCCACGAAGGCUACAAGCUCGCGGCGGACAACCACACCUGCGUGGACAUCGACGAGUGUGAGAUCCAUGGCAUCUGCUCCCAGGUGUGCGUCAAUGAGAUCGGCGCCUUCAAGUGCGAGUGCGAGGCGGGCUACAUGAGACUGCUAAGUAAUCACACAAGGUGCAAGGCCAGCGAAGGACACGCCUCCCUGCUCCUCGCCAGACGUCAUGACAUCCGCAAGAUCUCUCUCGAUCGCCCGGAAAUGACUUCUAUAGUAAAUAGUACAAAGUCAGCCACUGCUUUGGAUUUCGUAUUCCGCACAGGAAUGAUUUUCUGGAGCGACGUCACCACGAAAAGCAUUUACAAGGCUCCGAUCGAUGAGGGCAACGAGAAGACCGUGGUGCUGUCCAAGUCCUCGGUGACCUCGGAUGGCCUGGCUGUGGACUGGAUCUACAACCACGUCUACUACACGGACACCGCCAAGUGCACCAUUGAGCUGACGAACUUCGAGGGCAGCAUGGGCAAGGUUCUGGUGAAGGAUGCGCUGGACAUUCCGCGUUCAAUUGCCCUGGAUCCCAUCGAGGGCUGGAUGUACUGGUCUGACUGGGGAGCAUCGCCCAGGAUCGAGAGAGCGGGCAUGGAUGGCUCCCAUCGAACCACGAUCAUCAGCUACGAUGUGAAGUGGCCCAAUGGCAUCACCCUGGACUUGGUUCAAAAGCGCCUCUACUGGGUGGACGGCAAGCUGAACUCCAUCUCCUCUUCCAACUACGAUGGCUCGCAAAGGAGGCAAGUUCUCGCCUCCGAGGAAUACCUGAAGCACCCCUUCUCGAUCACCACCUUCGAGGAUUACGUCUACUGGACGGAUUGGGACAAACAGGCCGUCUUCAAGGCCAACAAGUUCAACGGGGAAGAUGUACAAGCUGUCACAGCGACGCACAUGAUGGAACAUCCGAUGGUGGUGCACGUGUACCACCCGUACCGCCAGCCCGAUGGCGUCAACCACUGCCAGUCGGUCAAUGGCCACUGCUCUCAUCUCUGCCUGCCAGCGCCCAGGAUUAACGAGCGGAGUCCUCGCAUAUCCUGCGCCUGUCCCACGGGCCUCAAACUGAUGGCCGACGGCCUCAUGUGCGUCGAAGAUCUUGAAGAAACCACCGGCAACAAUGGCACAGAAACAUCAAACAAGACCGAUGGUUCUAGCAAACAGGAAGAAAAGGAUUACGGCCAAAUAGCCCUAAUUGUGAUAGCCAGCUUAUCGAGCGUCGCAAUAGCAGCCUGCCUGAUCUUUGUUGCAUAUCGACGCUGCACGCGAGCUGUGAACUCGAUGAACUUCGAGAACCCCGUCUACCACAAGACCACGGAGGAUCACUUCAGUCUGGAGAAGAACGUGACGCCUCACAUGUACGCCACCGCAAUGGAGGAGGAGGUAAGCGGGUCGGCCCCUCCGAUGGCCACGAAUCCGAACGACUUUAGCUACAUCAGAUUCUAGGGUGUUAGGUGCUAAGUUAGUGUUGUAAAUAGGUAACUAAGUGCUCGUAUCAUAGUUGUAUCUAGGGCUAAGUAAGUUGAUUCUAGUAAGACUAGCUGUAAGUAAUGAAAUUGUUGUGAACUUAGUGAAUUUCAUGUUUUGAAUCCUUCCUAACCGAAUCCGUUUCUCCAACUAAUUCGUUUUGAAUGCCGCGAGCCACUCGAAACCACGGUGCCAAUUUAGACAUUAAAAGCGACCGCCCAUCCUCUGUUCGAACCGGGCACCGAAUGUGUCUAAGGCACCGCCAAAGAACCACUAAAUGCAUAUCCAGCAAAUACUGGCCGGUGGGCACUGAACACCCGCUAAGCAUCUCCUACUAGUAAUUCCCUUUUGGACCAAGCCCCAAAAACUCAUCUUUAAAAAGUAAAAGUUAAAUGAAAGAAAUGCUGAGAGAAUGAACUUUCACUUAGCAGUAAGAAAAGAAGAAUGCCAAAAAGAAAAAGAAAAGACAAGAGCAACAUCAGCAUUGGGGGAAAUGAAAAUACUCAACAAAUUCAAUUUGUUGCCUAGUUUAAAAUUUAAUUUAAAUGUAACAACACUAAACAUACACAUACACAUACACAUAUAUACACACAGACACACAUUAUACUUACACCCACACGUCCAUAAACUAAUAACAACGCAAACUUUUCUAGGCGCAAUGUUUUGACAUCAACUAACGUCGCACCACAGACUCACACACACACCUCCCACCCAUCCACACACACAGUCACAUAUAAGCGCACACACACAAGCCCAGAAGAACUCAGAGAAGGAACGAGCCGGGAUUUAGAGCCAGAAGUCGAACUUUCCUUUCACGUCCAUGAAAUCAAUUGUAAAAAGUUAAGACAUUUCGUUAAAGUUUGGGUACCGAAAGAAACAUUUUGUGAAUUAAAAAACCGAUAAUGGCUAAACUAAACUGUUUAUAGACCUAACAAUUAUUGUGACUAGCUAUAAUAUAUAUUUUUUGUUAUCGAUAAAAUAUUAAAAUCAGUUAUUAACUUGAAGGUAAAGUUUGUAGCACCAAGUUGGAUUACUUUUUAGCAAAAUAUUUGAACGAACCAGCUCUGUAAAUACAUAGAAAAUACAACAAAACUUAUAAAAAAUGUUUAGAUCAAAUUUACAAGACAAAAACAAAAAAUUUUUAGAGAUUGAAAUUUAAUUGCACACUUACUUUGCUCCGCUUUUCGUUCUUGGGUAUUCAAAACAAUUUGCUGUGAUCAUUUUAAAAGCAUUAUCCUACAUUAAAUCAUCUACUUUGUAGUA